CAGCCGCCACGGGAAUACGUAGGGUGCAAGCGUUAAUCGGAAUUACUGGGCGUAAAGCGUGCGCAGGCGGUUCUAUAAGACAGAUGUGAAAUCCCCGGGCUCAACCUGGGAAUGGCGCUUGUGACUGCAAAGCUAGAGUGCGGCAGAGGGGGAUGGAAUUCCGCGUGUAGCAGUGAAAUGCGUAGAUAUGCGGAGGAACACCGAUGGCGAAGGCAAUCCCCUGGGCCUGCACUGACGCUCAUGCACGAGAGCGUGGGGAGCAAACAGGAUUAGAUACCCCCGUAGUCCCUGUCUCUUAUAC
rnacentral:rRNA from 1 species